UCGCCCACAAUCUGUUCAAACGGUUUCAACACGGAUGCGUUCGGACGCACUGUGGGUGAUUGCCCCGGCGUUUCGUCAGCCGACUUUAAGUCGGAACUCUUAAAUGGGGUAUCUUUGUUGGGAUCGUUCUUCGAUUGAAGCGAAUCGGAACAUUCCACGUCUGGUCUCCGCGCGCUAACCCCGUAGCGUGUGGUUUUUAGCGGGCUCCAGGCCCGCUUUUUUUG
rnacentral:ncRNA from 1 species